GGUUGUAAGUUUGAGGCCAUAGCAGAUGCACUCAUGGUGCAGCCCUGUCAGAUUCAAACAAAUCUGAGAGGAAGGAA
rnacentral:ribozyme from 1 species